rnacentral:rRNA from 1 species
UCGGUGCUCUUCACUGAGUGUCGAGGUGGGCCGGCACGUUUACUUUGAACAAAUUAGAGUGCUUCAAGCAGGCUGGAUAUUGCCUGAAUGCUAGUGCAUGGAAUAAUGGAAUAGGACCUCGGUUCUAUUUUGUUGGUUUUCGGAACCAGAGGUAAUGAUUAAUGGAGACAGGCGGGGGCAUUCGUAUUGCGACGUUAGAGGUGAAAUUCUUGGAUCGUCGCAAGACGGACCGAAGCGAAAGCAUUUGCCAAGGAUGUUCUCGUUGAUCAAGAACGAAAGUUAGAGGUUCGAAGGCGAUCAGAUACCGCCCUAGUUCUAACCAUAAACGAUGCCAGCUAGCGAUCCGCCAAAGUUCCUUUGAUGACUUGGCGGGCAGCUUCCGGGAAACCAAAGCUUUUGGGUUCCGGGGGAAGUAUGGUUGCAAAGCUGAAACUUAAAGGAAUUGACGGAAGGGCACCACCAGGAGUGGAGCCUGCGGCUUAAUUUGACUCAACACGGGAAACCUCACCAGGCCCGGACACUGGAAGGAUUGACAGAUUGAGAGCUCUUUCUUGAUUCAGUGGGUGGUGGUGCAUGGCCGUUCUUAGUUGGUGGAGCGAUUUGUCUGGUUAAUUCCGAUAACGAACGAGACUCUAGCCUGCUAACUAGUCGUUUCCGGCUUCUCUUUGCAGCCGGCGAAGACAAAUCUUCUUAGAGGGACAGGCGGCUUCUAGCCGCACGAGAUUGAGCAAUAACAGGUCUGUGAUGCCCUUAGAUGUUCUGGGCCGCACGCGCGCUACAAUGAAGGUAUCAGCGUGUCCUCCCUGGCCGAAAGGUCCGGGUAACCCGCUGAACCACCUUCGUGCUUGGGAUUGGGGCUUGAAAUUGUUCCCCAUGAACGAGGAAUUCCCAGUAAAGGCGUGUCAUUAGCACGCCUUGAUUACGUCCCUGCCCUUUGUACACACCGCCCGUCGCUACUACCGAUUGAAUGAUUUAGUGAGGUCUUCGGACUGGCGCGCGGUGAUCCUUCGGGACCGCCGAUGCCGCCGGAAAGAUGACCAAACUUGAUCA